rnacentral:rRNA from 1 species
UACAGAGGUCCCGAGCGUUGUUCGAUUUAUUGGGCGUAAAGGGUGCGUAGGCGGCGGAGUAAGUUGGGUGUGAAAUCCCGGGGCUUAACCUCGGAAUGGCAUUCAAUACUGCUUCGCUCGAGUACUGGAGAGGAGGCUGGAAUUUACGGUGUAGCAGUGAAAUGCGUAGAUAUCGUAAGGAAGGCCGGUGGCGAAAGCGAGCCUCUGGACAGUUACUGACGCUGAUGCACAAAGGCCAGGGGAGCAAACGGG